rnacentral:rRNA from 1 species
CGCGUAGGCGGUGGUAUAAGUCUGAGGUGGAAUCCUACAGCUUAACCAUAGGACUGCCUUGGAAACUGUAUUACUUGAGUCGGACAGGGGAAGGCGGAAUUCCUGGUGUAGCGGUGAAAUGCGUAGAUAUCAGGAGGAAGGCCUGUGGUGAAGACGGCCUUCUGGGUCUUGACUGACGCUGAGGCGCGAAAGCGUGGGUAGCAAACAGGAUUAGAUACCCUGGUAGUCCACGCCCUAAACGGUGGGCACUAGGUGUGGGAUCUGUAAGGGUUCCGUGCCGAAGGGAAACCAUUAAGUGCCCCGCCUGGGAAGUACGGCCGCAAGGUUGAA